GAUGGAUGGAAGCCCGUGGGAGGAGCUUCUUUCCUUCACUCCAGUUUGGGAUAAAAUCCCAACCAGACAACAUGCUGUAGGGAACUGACCCUUUGUUUGAGCAAGAAACGUUGCCACAGGCCCUGGGAGCUGACAGACCAACAGAGAUCUUCUACUGCAUGUACCUAAGGCUCUUUCCGAUAACAUGCUCAAGUUUGCUCCAAGGACAAGCUGUACCGAGGCACUGAAACCAAGUUGUGGCUGAAGAUUAUGCAAAAUGGAUCCCCACUGGGACAAACCUCCAAACAACAAAACACAAAAGAUUCCUAGCUAGAAUACAACAUACUAGCUUAGUGAUAUGCUUACACCAGGAGGAGGCUACUGAUGGUAUAUCCUUUGUGGUACUGGCUACAGUAACAGGGAAAACUGGGAGAAGUUGGAGAAUCACAGGAAUGGAACAUAGCUUAAGGAAGAAGAAUCCUACCUCUUUCAGGGCUCGCUGGUUCUAACCCCUUUUGGAAUGUUAUGUAUUGCAAGGAUAAUCUUUUCCCACACAAACUUGGUCACCAACUAAGAUCUGCAAUGUAAAAUCUCUUUGAGGCCUUCCAUCUAUGGAUUAGGGAUGUGCAGAAUGUUUUGAGCGGGAAGGGAAACGUUCUGACUCGAAACGGGCCGUUUUAAGCUCAAAACAGAGGCCCUUCAAAUGAAGGGCCUGUUUUGAGCUCAGAAUGGAAUGAACCCGUUCUGAAUCGGAAUGUUUCGAGUGUUCUGGCCUGUGAGGGGGGCACCAGGGUGGGCAGUGGAAAGUACCUUUAACAAUCAUUAUCCGGUUACUGCUCAGCCCUAGCAAUUGGCGGCACCCCACCGCACCUUGCACCAAGGCUGCCCUGCCUAUGGUGCACUUCUGUAACCAGGUAAUGAUUGUUAAAAGGUACCUCCUGCCACCCCUUGACGGCCACUCUGCUGCUGCCCUCAAGGGCCGGAACACUCAUAACUUUCUAACUCAGAACGGGGUAGUUCCAUCAGAACAACUGGAUUGACCAGUUGUUCUGACGGAAUGCAAAUCCUGUUCCACACACAUACCUAGUUAGGUUGGUGGCUGUCUUGACAACGGCCUCUGUGGUGGUGCCCAAAUUAUGGCACUUCCUCCCUAGAUAUACACACCUGCUCUCUUCUUUAUUAUCAUUAAUAAAUAGGUGAAGUCUGUCCUGUUCUCUAAGACUUUUAAAGCAAACAAUUGCUCUAUUAUCUUGGAUCUUUUAAACCACCAACUCACUGAAUUUUAUUUGUUUGCUGCU